AUUGAACGCUGGCGGCAGGCCUAACACAUGCAAGUCGAGCGAGCGACGGACGGGGGAGGAAUGUUUGGGGAAUGUACGAUAGAGGGGGAUAACUACUGGAAACGGUAGCUAAUACGGCAUACGAUCGGAUAACCCAUAUGGGAUUAGCUAGUAGGGGAGGUAAUGGCGCACCUAGGCGACGAACACUAGCUGGCCUGAGAGGAUGAUCAGCCACACUGGGACUGAGACACGGCCCAGACUCCUACGGAGGCAGCAGUGGGGAAUAUUGCACAAUGGACGCAAGCCUGAUGCAGCCAUGCCGCGUGUAUGAAGAAGGCCCUAGGGUUGUAAAGUACUUUCAGUCGGGAGGCGUUACCGACAGAGGAAGCACCGGCUAACUCCGUGCCAGCAGCCGCGGUAAUUC
rnacentral:rRNA from 1 species